UUUAUGUGUGAGAUCCGGAGUCAGAUAGAUUUCCCAGAAGAUUCGCAAGGCCUGCGGGAGUCAUAACGGAGCCCACGCCCGGCAGGGAGGAGGGGUGUUAGAGACGGAUUGAUAACAGUGAGACGAGUCCAGAUGUUUUUAUUACUUUCCACUUUGCUCCCAGCAUUGGGAUUGCAAAUAGAGACACUAGUAAUCCGGGUAUGCGUGUCUGUAGCCUCCGAGGGGUUAUGGGACUCAUCUUCUACCUCUGGCCCGGGCCCUGCUCUGAGCCUCAGGCCUGUGUAUCCCAGAGCCCACUUCCCGUGUCCUUGGGGAUAUCACAGAACAACUCGAUUUCCACCUGUCCAGACUACGCUUGGUUUCCCCUUGAAGCCCGAGGCCGGCUCUGCUCAUUAUCCUGAAGGACGUGACCACCAGCAGCCAUACGGGUAGAGUUUGCUUUGGAGCUCUCCAAGAGAAAGAAUUCCCACAAAUCUGGGGAAGACACAUUUGAGAAGAGCUGUGAAAAAGAUGAAGCUCUGAAAUAUCUUGUAAUCCAAGGUAAUUCAACCCAUGCCAUCACAACUGGCUCUUUGGAAUUUCUGUUACUUUUCACCAAAGAUAUUCAUGUCAUGCUCCUGAGAUUUUGACAGAAGUCAGUAAAUUAAUCCGACAGAUCAGCUGGCCUAUGGUUUCCUCAGCCUGGUGGAGAAGGAAGUUAACCUCUAUCCAGAGACAGUCAUUAAGUGCAAGUUUGAGUGGUGGGCACAGCUCCUUGAUUUGUCAAUUCAAAGAUGCCAAGGAAGGAGGAAGAGAAGCAGGGAGAUGCAUACGGACCUGCCUUUACCCUCACCCCAUGCCUGGCAUUCACGAUCCCCUCUCUGUAGGUGUAUGACUCUCCUAGCUAAAAUGUACAAUGCAGUUCAUUACUCAAAUUAAUGUGCAUUACAAUAAAGAG